ACUUACCAACCCGAUGCAAACUACGAAUACCGAAGAAUGUUAUCACGGGAGACACACGGCGGGUGCUAACGUCCGUCGUGAAGAGGGAAACAACCCAGACCGCCAGCUAAGGUCCCAAAGUCAUGGUUAAGUGGGAAACGAUGUGGGAAGGCACAGACAGCCAGGAUGUUGGCUUAGAAGCAGCCAUCAUUUAAAGAAAGCGUAAUAGCUCACUGGUCGAGUCGGCCUGCGCGGAAGAUGUAACGGGGCUAAACCAUGCACCGAAGCUGCGGCAGCGACACUAUGUGUUGUUGGGUAGGGGAGCGUUCUGUAAGCCGUUGAAGGUGGCCUGUGAGGGUUGCUGGAGGUAUCAGAAGUGCGAAUGCUGACAUAAGUAACGAUAAAGCGGGUGAAAAGCCCGCUCGCCGGAAGACCAAGGGUUCCUGUCCAACGUUAAUCGGGGCAGGGUGAGUCGACCCCUAAGGCGAGGCCGAAAGGCGUAGUCGAUGGGAAACAGGUUAAUAUUCCUGUACUCGGUGUUACUGCGAAGGGGGGACGGAGAAGGCUAUGUUAGCCGGGC
rnacentral:rRNA from 1 species